UACAGAGGUGGCAAGCGUUGUUCGGAAUUACUGGGCGUAAAGGGUGCGUAGGUGGUUUGAUAAGUUAUCUGUGAAAUUCCUGGGCUCAACCUAGGGUGGUCAGAUGAGACUGUUAGACUUGAGUAUGGGAGAGGGUAGUGGAAUUUCCGGUGUAGCGGUGAAAUGCGUAGAGAUCGGAAGGAACAUCGGUGGCGAAGGCGGCUACCUGGCCUGAUACUGACACUGAGGCACGAAAGCGUGGGGAGCAAACAGG
rnacentral:rRNA from 1 species